rnacentral:rRNA from 1 species
GAUGAACGCUGGCGGCGUGCCUAAUACAUGCAAGUCGAGCGAACGGACGAGGAGCUUGCUUCUCUGACGUUAGCGGCGGACGGGUGAGUAACACGUGGAUAACCUACCUAUAAGACUGGGAUAACUUCGGGAAACCGGAGCUAAUACCGGAUGAUAUUUUGAACCGCAUGGUUCAAUAGUGAAAGACGGUCUUGCUGUCACUUAUAGAUGGAUCCGCGCUGCAUUAGCUAGUUGGUAAGGUAACGGCUUACCAAGGCAACGAUGCGUAGCCGACCUGAGAGGGUGAUCGGCCACACUGGAACUGAGACACGGUCCAGACUCCUACGGGAGGCAGCAGUAGGGAAUCUUCCGCAAUGGGCGAAAGCCUGACGGAGCAACGCCGCGUGAGUGAUGAAGGUCUUCGGAUCGUAAAACUCUGUUAUUAGGGAAGAACAAAUGUGUAAGUAACUGUGCACAUCUUGACGGUACCUAAUCAGAAAGCCACGGCUAACUACGUG